rnacentral:tRNA from 1 species
GGGGAUGUAGCUUAGAUGGUAGAGCGCUCGCUUCGCAUGCGAGAGGUACGGGGACUGAUACCCCGCAUCUCCA